rnacentral:rRNA from 1 species
CCUACGGGCGGCUGCAGUGAGGAAUAUUGGUCAAUGGGCGCGAGCCUGAACCAGCCAAGUCGCGUGAGGGAAGACGGCCCUACGGGUUGUAAACCUCUUUUGCCGGGGAGCAACGGGCGCCACGUGUGGCGCCACUGAGAGUACCCGGCGAAAAAGCAUCGGCUAACUCCGUGACAGCAGCCGCGGUCAUACGGAGGAUGCGAGCGUUAUGCGGAUUUAUUGGGUUUAAAGAGUGCGUAGGCGGUGCGUUAAGUCAGUGGUCAAAUGUGGGGGCUCAACCCCUUCCCGCCAUUGAAACUGGCGCUCUUGAGUGGAAGAGAAGUAUGCGGAAUGCGUGGUGUAGCGGUGAAAUGCAUAGAUAUCACGCAGAACCCCGAUUGCGAAGGCAGCAUGCCGGCUUCCUACUGACGCUGAUGCACGAAAGCGUGGGGAUCGAACAGGAUUAGAUACCCCAGUAGUC